UUGGAGGGCAAGUCUGGUGCCAGCAGCCGCGGUAAUUCCAGCUCCAAUAGCGUAUAUUAAAGUUGUUGCAGUUAAAAAGCUCGUAGUUGAAUUUCGGGGUCAGUAGGUUGGUCGUGCCACUGGUAUGUACUGGUCUCACUGAUUCCUCCUUCCUGAUGAGCCGUAAUGCCAUUAAUUUGGUGUUGCGGGGAGUCUGGACUGUUACUUUGAAAAAAUUAGAGUGUUUAAAGCAGGCUAACGCCUGAAUACAUUAGCAUGGAAUAAUGAAAUAGGACGUUCGAUCCUAUUUUGUUGGUUUCUAGGAUUGACGUAAUGAUUAAUAGGGAUAGUUGGGGGCAUUAGUAUUCAAUUGUCAGAGGUGAAAUUCUUGGAUUUAUUGAAGACUAACUACUGCGAAAGCAUUUGCCAAGGAUGUUUUCAUUAAUCAAGAACGAAAGUUAGGGGAUCGAAGACGAUCAGAUACCGUCGUAGUCUUAACCAUAAACUAUGCCGACUAGGGAUCGGAUGAUGUUAAUUUUUUAAUGACUCAUUCGGCGCCUUACGGGAAAC
rnacentral:rRNA from 1 species